rnacentral:rRNA from 1 species
AUGCGCCUCCGUGAACUUAUUUCUCCUGGGCAAAGUGCUUUCAUCAAAGGACGUAGCAUCCAAGACAACUUCCUCUUUGUCCAAGGCCUAGCCAGGCAUUUCCACCGUACCAAGAGACCCAUGUUGUUCCUGAAGCUGGAUAUUGCUAAGGCAUUUGAUACGCUCUCGUGGCCAUACCUGAUCAAUGUGCUAUGAGCCCGGGGCUUUGGUCAACGUUGGUGCAAUUGGAUUUCUAUAAUCCUCUCCUCGGCCUCCUCCAGAGUGAUCAUCAACGUCUUGAUCGGUGACCCCAUCUAUCAUGCCAAAGGGGUGCAUCAGGGCGAUCCUCUCUCCCCUUUCCUCAUCAUCCUCGCCAUGGAACCACUCCUCCAUCUCAUCAAUAAGGCGGUGGAGACUGGCAUCCUAUCGAUGCUGAGAGGAAGAGUCCCCCCGGUUCGUGUCUCGCUAUAUGCUGAUGAUGUUGCCCUAUUCAUUAACCCAGUUAGAACUGAGCUUCAGGCCCUGAAAUCCAUCCUCGCUGCCUUUGGAGACAUCACUGGGCUGCGUGUCAACUUCUCCAGGAGCUCGAUCAUUGAUAACCCACAAGUAUAG